UGUGUGAUACUUCUCUCUGCCUGCAGGGGGCAGUGUGGAGCUCUGUGUGAUACUUCUCUCUGCCUGCAGGGGGCAGUGUGGAGCUCUGUGUGAUACUUCUCUCUGCCUGCAGGGGGCAGUGUGGAGCUCUGUGUGAUACUUCUCUCUGCCUGCAGGGGGCAGUGUAGAGCUCUGUGUGAUACUUCUCUCUGCCUGCAGGGGGCAGUGUGGAGCUCUGUGUGAUACUUCUCUCUGCCUGCAGGGGGCAGUGUAGAGCUCUGUGUGAUACUUCACUCUGCCUGCAGGGGGCAGUGUGGAGCUGUGUGUGAUACUUCACUCUGCCUGCAGGGGGCAGUGUAGAGCUGUGUGAUACUUCACUCUGCCUGCAGGGGGCAGUGUGGAGCUCUGUGUGAUACUUCUCUCUGCCUGCAGGGGGCAGUGUGGAGUGUGUUGGUGCUUUCUACCUGCUGGGCGUUGGAGUGGUCGUUCUGACAGGAC